GUGACGCCCCCGGGCAUCGGGGACGAAACAAAAGUUCCUCAAAUCCCCCUAAAAUUUUUUAAAUGCCCCCAAAAUUUCUGCUUUUUGCAUCAAGGACAAAGCCCCUCCUCACAACCCAGCGCUGUCCCCUCUCUUGGGGGUCUCUGUCCUCUCUCUGUCCCUUCCCAGGGGUCUCUGUUCCCUUUUGGGGGGGGUCUCUGUCCCCUCUCUUGGGGGUCUUUGUCUCCUUUUGGGGUCUCUCUCCCCUCUCGGGGGUCUCUGUCCUCUUUUUGGGGAGGGGUCUCUGUUCCCUCUCUUGCUCUCUGUCCCGUUUUUGUCCCCUCUCCCGGGGGUCUCUGUCCCCUUUGGGGGUCUCUGUCCUCUCUCUGUCCCUUUUAAGGUCUCUGUCCCUUUUUGGGGAGGGGUCUCUGUGUCCCCUUUUAGGGUCUCUGUCCCUUUUUGGGGAGGGGUCUCUGUGUCCUCUUUUGGGGUCUCUGUCCCCUUUUGGGGGGGGUCUCUGUCCCCUCUCUUGGUUUCUGUCCCCUCUCCCGGGGGUCUCUGUCCCCUUUUGGGGUCUCUGUCCCCUUUUGGGGAGGGGUCUCUGUUCCCUCUCUU
rnacentral:lncRNA from 1 species